CUACGGGGCGCUGCAGUGGGGAAUAUUGCACAAUGGGCACAAGCCUGAUGCAGCCAUGCCGCGUGUAUGAAGAAGGCCUUCGGGUUGUAAAGUACUUUCAGCGGGGAGGAAGGGAGUAAAGUUAAUACCUUUGCUCAUUGACGUUACCCGCAGAAGAAGCACCGGCUAACUCCGUGCCAGCAGCCGCGGUAAUACGGAGGGUGCAAGCGUUAAUCGGAAUUACUGGGCGUAAAGCGCACGCAGGCGGUUUGUUAAGUCAGAUGUGAAAUCCCCGGGCUCAACCUGGGAACUGCAUCUGAUACUGGCAAGCUUGAGUCUCGUAGAGGGGGGUAGAAUUCCAGGUGUAGCGGUGAAAUGCGUAGAGAUCAGGAGGAAUACCGGUGGCGAAGGCGGCCCCCUGGACGAAGACUGACGCUCAGGUGCGAAAGCGUGGGGAGCAAACAGGAUUAGAUACCCUAGUAGUC
rnacentral:rRNA from 1 species